rnacentral:rRNA from 1 species
UACGUAGGGGGCAAGCGUUGUCCGGAAUUAUUGGGCGUAAAGCGCGCGCAGGCGGUUACUUAAGUCUUAUGUAUAAGCCCGGGGCUCAACCUCGGGACGCAUGGGAAACUGGGUGACUUGAGUGCAGAAGAGGAGAGUGGAAUUCCACGUGUAGCGGUGAUAUGCGUAGAUAUGUGGAGGAACACCAGUGGCGAAGGCGACUCUCUGGUCUGUAACUGACGCUGAGGCGCGAAAGCGUGGGGAGCAAACAGG